GGGGCAGUAGCGGCAGACCUACCCAGCGGGCCGUCCCAGCUCCGUCGGACGCACACAGGUUUGACAUACGCCAAACGCCCCGCCAGCGGGGCCGUCGCACUGACCCUGUCAAUGCAACAAACGACAAGCCCCACUCCGCGCUGUGCUGAGGAGAGCGGCCCGCUCGCGUCCAGGGAAGCGCUCAGCAUCUAUACCUAGGACACAGCCGAGCAUCAGAGAUUUUCCGGGAUUGCAGAGAAGGAGUGGCCAUGAGGAGAGCCCCUGAGAGGAGUGAGCCGUGCUAGCUUGGAUACCCGACACUGGGCCCGGGCCCGAGGUGCAGAAGAGGGCAGGCCCGGAGAGCAGCCAGGAGGCGUGUGGAGUGGAGAGGGCGUGGGAAGCUCUGGGGGAAAAACACGCUGCGAGGCCGCCCGCCAGCCCCAGUGGAGGGCGUGGGAAGCAGGCAGAGCCUAGAACUAAAGCAGUGAUUGACCUUCUUCUCCAGAGACGCUGGAUUAUCAAAGACCCGGGCGGGGACAGCCCAAGCUGUGGAGCAACCUUGCGAGGGAGAGGUUGUGGAGGGUGGAGCGUGAACAAGAUCCGUCCUGCACCUGAAGUGUAAACAUAAGGAUGAUGCGGAAGCUCUUUGGUUGACCUACCCACAACCCCACCCUGCGUGAGACCCAGAUUGUGAGCAUUAACAGCCAAUCUAUGUGGACACCAGCUCCAACUGUUACUCCCUGUGCAGGCAAGCAUGUGAACAUGGGUUAAUUUUCUGUUCUCAAUACAUUGUCCACUAGGCCUUUCCAAAAGCUUUAAUCAAGCUUUAAUCGAUGGCCACUUGGACGGUACCACUUGGAGUUUUGUUUCAGAAAUGUCUUCCUAAUAUCCAUAGGCACCACACCUUCUGACCACUAGUGUUCCCUAAUGCCCAAACCUCUUAAGGAUAAAAUAAGUAUAAUCAACUUUGCCUACAGUAAGAUUGCAUAUUUAUUAAGUUCUCAAAGAAGUUGUUUAUCUGAGUAUCUGUUGACUAGAAGAUGUUGGGAAAUGACCAUCUCUUCGCCUACUCAAGUAACCUUACAAUUGUCUUCAUUUUUAAUUAAAGCAUCAGUUAAUACGUGCAUAUAACUUAAAUUACUGCUAUAUGAGUCCUUAUCGUGGGUUUUUUUUUGUUUUGUUUUUUUCUACCCAUGAUAGAUCUUACCUUAAGGCUCUGGUAUCUUGAGAAUUAAACUCCUGAAUAUAAAUGUUACUCCAUUCCUGCUUUUGCCUGUUUAUGGCACUUGCUGGGAACCCAGACUGCAAGCCUUUCUUGUCCACAUUUCUUGUCCACAUUUGAAGAAUUGUUUGGUCUCUUUAAGCCAAACAUGAGAAUAAUUAGUCCAGGAUUCAGAUAAGCAGACCUAAUAAACUAUCCCAAAUAGGAAUCAGUUCUGCUCUUUUUCUCUGCCUUUUCAAUACAGGAAAGCCAAAUUCUCAGCACAAGAACCUGGUAAUGGUUUCACUGUUUUGUUUGCUGGGAUUAUCAUCUGUGCAGAUAACUGCAUUUGCAUCACUAAUAGACUUCUUUCAAAGAGAAAAGACAUUUCAGUAGGGCUGAACCGGUCUUUAAGGUUUUGUUUGUUCCAUUUUGGCAAGGCCAAGCUAGUCCUUUUGAAAAAGGAUUGAUUUUCAUGUAAGGGCCUGAUUUGCCAUAGGGUUACAGCAUAAAUAAAAAGGCUUUUGCAAUUAACUGUUCA